CGUGUCGUCCUGCAGGGUCGACGAUUCGCGGCCUAUCAGCUUGUUGGUGAGGUAAUGGCUCACCAAGGCUUUGACGGGUAGCUGGUCUGAGAGGAUGAUCAGUCACAAUGGGACUGAGACACGGCCCAUACUCCUACGGGAGGCAGCAGUUAGGAAUUUUGCGCAAUGGACGAAAGUCUGACGCAGCAAUACCGCGUGAAGGAUGAAUACUUUAGGGUUGUAAACUUCUUUUCUAAGGGACGAAGUCCGACGGUACCUUAGGAAUAAGCUCCGGCUAAAUACGUGCCAGCAGCCGCGGUAAUACGUAUGGAGCAAGCGUUAUCCGGAUUUAUUGGGCGUAAAGAGUCUGUAGGUGGUUUGUUAAGUUGGAGAUGAAAGACAUAGGCUCAACCUAUGAAACGUUUCCAAAACUGGCAGACUAGAGGCAAGAAGAGGUAAGUGGAACCUGUGGUGUAGGGGUAAAAUCCGUAGAUAUCACAGGGAACGCCAAUGGCGAAAGCAGCUUACUGGUCUUGUCCUGACACUAAGAGACGAAAGCGUGGGUAGCGAACGGGAUUAGAUACCCCGGUAGUCCACGCCGUAAACGAUGGGUACUAGAUAUUAGCUGUAUCAACCCAGCUAGUGCCGUAGCUAACGCGUUAAGUACCCCGCCUGGGGAGUACGGAAU
rnacentral:rRNA from 1 species